rnacentral:rRNA from 1 species
GAAUAUUGGACAAUGGGCGCAAGCCUGAUCCAGCCAUGCCGCGUGAGUGAUGAAGGCCCUAGGGUUGUAAAGCUCUUUUACUUGGGAAGAUAAUGACUGUACCAGGAGAAUAAGCCCCGGCUAACUUCGUGCCAGCAGCCGCGGUAAUACGAAGGGGGCUAGCGUUGUUCGGAUUUACUGGGCGUAAAGCGCACGUAGGCGGAUCGUUAAGUCGGGGGUGAAAUCCUGGAGCUCAACUCCAGAACUGCCUUCGAUACUGGCGAUCUUGAGUCCGGAAGAGGUGAGUGGAACUCCUAGUGUAGAGGUGGAAUUCGUAGAUAUUAGGAAGAACACCAGUGGCGAAGGCGGCUCACUGGUCCGGUACUGACGCUGAGGUGCGAAAGCGUGGGGAGCAAAC